rnacentral:rRNA from 1 species
UACGGGGGGGGCAAGCGUUGUUCGGAAUUACUGGGCGUAAAGGGCUCGUAGGUGGCCAACUAAGUCAGACGUGAAAUCCCUCGGCUUAACCGGGGAACUGCGUCUGAUACUGGAUGGCUUGAGUUUGGGAGAGGGACGCGGAAUUCCAGGUGUAGCGGUGAAAUGCGUAGAUAUCGUGAGGAACACCAGAGGCGAAGGCGGCUACCUGGACAAUUGCUGACGCUCAGGCACGAAAGCGUGGGGAGCAAAAGGG